UGAGGAACAUGACCUUCGGCGGGGGAUAGCCGGCCCAACGGCCGGGUAAUACCGCGUACGACCACAUGGGGACAUCCCUGAGUGGUGAAAGCAGCAAUGCGCCGAUGGAGUGCCUCGCGGCCUAUCAGCUAGUUGGGUGGGGUAAUGGCUCACCAAGGCGACGACGGGUAGCUGGUCUGAGAGGAUGGCCAGCCACAUUGGGACUGAGACACGGCCCAGACCUCUACGGGGAGG
rnacentral:rRNA from 1 species